rnacentral:rRNA from 1 species
UACGUAGGGUCCAAGCGUUAAUCGGAAUUACUGGGCGUAAAGCGUGCGCAGGCGGCUUCGCAAGUCAGACGUGAAAUCCCCGGGCUUAACCUGGGAAUGGCGUUUGAAACUACGGAGCUGGAGUGUGGCAGAGGGAGGUAGAAUUCCACGUGUAGCGGUGAAAUGCGUAGAUAUGUGGAGGAAUACCGAUGGCGAAGGCAGCCUCCUGGGCCAACACUGACGCUCAUGCACGAAAGCGUGGGGAGCAAACAGG